UACGGGGGGGGCAAGCGUUGUUCGGAAUUACUGGGCGUAAAGGGCUCGUAGGCGGCCAACUAAGUCGGAUGUGAAAUCCCCAGGCUUAACCUGGGAACUGCAUCCGAUACUGGAUGGCUUGAAUCCGGGAGAGGGAUGCAGAAUUCCAGGUGUAGCGGUGAAAUGCGUAGAUAUCUGGAGGAAUACCGGUGGCGAAGGCGGCAUCCGGGACCGGCAUUGACGCUGAGUGAGCGAAAGCCAGGGGAGCAAACGGG
rnacentral:rRNA from 1 species